rnacentral:tRNA from 1 species
GCGGGCGUAGUUCAAUUGUAGAACUAGAGCUUCCCAAGCUCUAUACGAGGGUUCGAUUCCCUUCUCCCGCUCCA